GGCCGCGAAUUCGCCCUUAGGGUUUGAUUAUGGCUCAGAUUGAACGCUGGCGGCAGGCCUAACACAUGCAAGUCGAGCGGUAACAGGAGAAAGCUUGCUUUCUUGCUGACGAGCGGCGGACGGGUGAGUAAUGUAUGGGGAUCUGCCCGAUAGAGGGGGGAUAACUACUGGAAACGGUGGCUAAUACCGCAUAAUGUCUACGGACCAAAGCAGGGGCUCUUCGGACCUUGCACUAUCGGAUGAACCCAUAUGGGAUUAGCUAGUAGGUGGGGUAAAGGCUCACCUAGGCGACGACCUCUAGCUGGUCUGAGAGGAUGAUCAGCCACACUGGGACUGAGACACGGCCCANACUCCUACGGGAGGCAGCAGUGGGGAAUAUUGCACAAUGGGCGCAAGCCUGAUGCA
rnacentral:rRNA from 1 species